UACAUUCCGAAGAAGCAACUCCUCAUGUUUGGGGUAGGCACUUAAACUUAAGCAAUGCUUCACAUUCGAAGCCUUUUAACAAUUUUGCAAGCUUAUCCCCUGUUGGGCUCCACAACAGAUAAAUGAUCUUUGAAUGUUUUGGCUUCUUAGGUUUUCUUCCAAGCACAUAAAUAUCUACAUAUACAGUUGGAGGGAGAGAAAACUGGUAUUAACCCUGCUGAAUUGGAAAAUCAUGACUCAAUAGAAAGGUCUGUCGAAGCUGCCAGUUGCUGCAUGAAAAAGGGCAUCAAAAUCGAUGCUGAUAUUCUGAGAAAUGGCAAGAAAGUAUAAGUUCUGUGGUAGCGAUGACUAAUCAGGUUGCAACUGUUCUGACCCGUCGGAUUUUUUCCAGGAAAUCAAUUAGAUUGUGUGAACUUGAAUGUGAAUGAAACAUUGAAACUGUAUAGUAUAUGUGGCAGGUCGUAAUAAAGAAGGUAAGAGAUA